GACGAACGCUGGCGGCGUGCUUAACACAUGCAAGUCGAACGGAGCGAAUGAAAGCUUGCUUUUAUAAGCUUAGUGGCAAACGGGUGAGUAACACGUAGGCAACCUGCCGACAGGAUGGGGACAACAUUCCGAAAGGAAUGCUAAUACCGAAUGAAGUCGAGGGAGGGCAUCCUCCUCCGAUGAAAGAUGGCCUCUAUAUAUAAGCUAUCACCUGUCGAUGGGCCUGCGUCUGAUUAGCUGGUAGGUGAGGUAACGGCUCACCUAGGCGACGAUCAGUAGCCGGUCUGAGAGGAUGAACGGCCACAUUGGGACUGAGACACGGCCCAGACUCCUACGGGAGACAGCAGUGGGGAAUCUUCCGCAAUGGGCGCAAGCCUGACGGAGCAACGCCGCGUGAGUGAAGAAGGUCUUCGGAUCGUAAAGCUCUGUUGAUGGGGACGUAACGUGCCUAAUGCGAAUAGUAUUAAGGUAAAG
rnacentral:rRNA from 1 species